rnacentral:rRNA from 1 species
UACGUAGGGUCCGAGCGUUGUCCGGAGUUACUGGGCGUAAAGCGCGCGCAGGCGGCUCGUCAAGUCUGGCGUGAAAGCCCCCGGCUCAACCGGGGAGGGUCGUCGGAGACUGGCGGGCUUGAGGGCGGUAGGGGCUGGUGGAAUUCCCGGUGUAGUGGUGAAAUGCGUAGAGAUCGGGAGGAACACCCGUGGCGAAGGCGGCCAGCUGGGCCGACCCUGACGCUGAGGCGCGAAGGCGUGGGGAGCGA